UCUUAGGCAGCAACUUUUUCUUGGCUUGCAGGUAUCUGAGAUAUUUUCAGAUUCCUCCUUCAAGGCAUUUGCAGAUACCUUGAAGAGUGGGGGAAUUGUUAACGCCUUGUGUGUCCCUUCAGGAGGAAAGACAUACUCAAAUACUGCUUUGAAGAAAGGUGAUAUUUACAAUGAAGCUAUUAAAUCUGGAGCAAAGGGUUUGCCUUUCUUAAAGGUGUUAGAAGAUGGGGCAAUUGAAGGGAUUUCCCCACUGGUAUCAUGCUUGGACCACACAAAGAAGGACAAGUUACUCAAACACUUAUCUGCGGGAUCAGGUGAUCUCAUCUUGUUUGCAGUGGGUCAGCCUGCAUCAGUAAAUAAAACUUUAGAUAGGCUGAGGUUGUAUGUAGCCCAUGAUUUGGGCUUGAUUGAUCCUAUCUUCAAACCUGCAGAGAAUUUCCGAAGUCAUCAGAACCAUAAGGAACGAUGGAGUUGUUGCAGUAUUCAGUCGUCGUCUGAUUGAAGAACAUAUCAUCACAACCAACUGCAGUCACGCCGGGAUUGAUAUCACCGCUAUUAUUUAAGCCCAAAUUAGUUGAAGAAGAAGAAGAAUUUUUCAACAGCAUCAAGUCAUCGGCUCUCAUCAACAGCUUUUUCUUCAACUCUUCCAAUGAAGCUUUAUACUGUUGAAGCUCCUCCAAACCCAUAUGCUCAAUUGGGUCAUCCCACCAAAAACUCCCACCGUUCUCUAACUUCGAACCUUCAAUCAAUUCAUUUCUUUUUCUCUCGACCUCUAAUUCUUUGGACACUUUAGCAUAGUGUCGGUUGUGUUGUUGAAUCUCAUGAGCACCCAAUGGGGUUUUCGGAUCAGCAACGGAUGACGAGGAGGAUGAUGAUGAUGCCGACCCCGUGGUAUAGCGGUUAAUAACAGCGUCAAUGUUGGGGUGACCAAAAGCAAAGACGCGCUUGCCCAAAGAAUGAACGAUGAUGGCAACUUCUGCCUCGGUCAAGACGCAAAGUUCACUUGCUUUCUUGAAGAGACCGACUCUUCGCUUGGAGAAGGUUACUUGCCUGUUGCUCAAGUUGUCUAUCUUCUUGAUCUCGAUUUUUUUUCGACCUUGGGUCGUCUUCUUCUUCAUCAUCAUGUUGUUCAUUUUCGCCUUUUUUUUUUUUUUGUCUUUUGGUGGGAUUUUGAUGAAUUAAGGGCUAGCUACAUUGCUUUGGCAUCCCAUCCUAUUAUUAUAUAAGGUUCCACCUUCCUUAAUAUUUACCCGUAAUUUUGUUUCCUAAAAACGUCAAAGAUUUUAUUGUGAUUCGGUCGAUAUAUUUUCUCC